UGCAGCUGUUACCGCGGGAGUGGGGGCUGGAGCCGUCGCCAGCAGUCCCUGCUGUUUGCCUAAACUAGGCCCGCCAGCAGAUCCCCUCCAUUUGCUCCCACGCCGCUCCUCCUCAUGCGGCUUCCCCCACUGCUAGGGACGGGAAGGGAGCGGCUGAGCCUGCCCUGGCAGGAUGGGGGUGGGGUGGGGGAGCUUGGCUCUAGAGAGAGGAGGUCUCCUUUAUGAACCGAGGCAUGUCCUUGAAGGGUAGGGCAAUGUCCUCCCCAUUGCAUUUCUGGGGAAACUGAGGCCCAAGGAAAAAUAGGAAUUGGUCCCCAGUCACACAACCAGGGCAUACUAGAGCUAGGGCUGGCACCCGACUGAGUCUAGAAGCACCACACCACUGGCUCUGGCCCUCUGUGCUGUGCUCUUGGCCCUCCCUGCAGCAAUUCAGCACACACUACAGAGACUGCCCCGUGCAGACAGCAGCAUUUAACCAGCAUUACUCCCGGCACAACCUCGGGGAGGGCGAGGGGCGCCGAUGACUGAACAAAAGGAGCACUAGGAAACGGAUCAUAGAAAUAGAAAGAGGGACACAGAGAGGAAAAGGAGGGUACGUGAGUAGAGGAGCAGGAGGGAACGCAUGGGAGAGGGAAACAGAGAAGUAAGGAGAAGCAGAGAAAGUUAGAGAAAGAAAAGAGAGAGGUGAUGAGGUGCCCAGAACGAGUGGAAAGAAAGGACAAGAUCACCUCCCUCCCCCAGCUAGUUCCGAGCCCCUCCCAGCACAGACAAAGCCUGUGGGGUAGAGAGAGGAUUGCACAGACAAAGCCUGUGGGGUAGAGAAAGGACAGGGAGGGAGGAAGGGUGGGAGGGCUGCUUGGGGAGCAGGGCAAAGGUGGAGCGGGCAUUAAAAUCGGUUUCUGGGAGGCAUCUCCUGCCAUCCCACAAUGCCUCAAGCUCCCUGAGUGACCUAGCGCAAACACACCAGCCCGCCUCCCACCGUGAUGUGGCACUUCUAGACUCAAGUGGGCUAAUCUGCGACGGGACGCUAAGCAAACACCCCCUCAGCCAGAGAGAGUCAUCACUCCUUCCGGCCCAAGGGGAGACGCAGCUGCAUAAAGAACCACCCCCCCACCGCCGCCUCCACUGUCUCACUGUCUGGCCCCUACUCUUCAGCCCUUCCUCAUCUAGAGCUGGAUCUGACACCAAAGGCGUCUUGUGAGCAGUGUCAUGACCGAGAAUGAAUACUCUGGAUGUGGUGGCUGGCUCCUUGUGAAGAAGAAUUCAAUCAGAUUCCAUUUGAUUAAUCUGCAUUGAGAUCCUAGUAUGUGUCCGACACUAUGCAGAAAUACUUCACUCCCUCUUCCAUGGCAGACCAUGAUGAACUAGGGUUUGCUGUUUUCACGGCUUCUGUCACUGUUGGAGCUGAGGCUGAGGCUGCAGCAGGAGCUCCUCUGGCCCCGAGGCAAGAGACAUGUUCUCUGCAUCCCCAGGGGACCCAAAGCAACUUCUGGUUUGGGUUAAAGAGGACUUGGGUGACCCCACCCUGCCAGUCAUCCACCCUCUGGCAGCCAGGGCGGCAGCAGGGGAGGGGGCAGAAGGCUGCCACAGUGCUUCUCUCCCCUGCCAUUUCCUCUGCAGCUCCCUCUCUGGCCCUGUUUUUCAGACCUCUAGUAAUAAAAACAAGCCAAUAAAAUGAACAUGAAAAUA
rnacentral:lncRNA from 1 species